CUCUGGUGGCUCGAUUGUGUCAAGCCGGUACAUCCAGCCCUAGAGUUUAGGACUCAAAGCAGUUGCCCUGCGCUAGGACCCCAUCCGCUUCGGCUUGUGUACCAGUACUGAGUAACACAGCUCCCCAAAAGUAAGGAAUCUUCCUAGAAACUUCCAACCAAUCCAAACUUCCAGCACUGCUUCUGCAACCUCUGAUCUCACAACCCACCACCUCUACACGGGCCAACCACCAGACCUCAAGAGCACCUGGCAUCUUCUGGACAGAAAUUAAAGUGACAGCCACUAGAAGCAGUGUCCCCAGUGCAGCUGGAAAGACCCAUGGGUGCCUCUGUCACUCGGUGGUGCCACCUGGUUACAUUCCCACCACUGUACAGCUCUGUUGUUUCCUCUUACAAACAAGGCUAUUUGUAAUCCCC
rnacentral:lncRNA from 1 species